rnacentral:rRNA from 1 species
CCUACGGGAGGCAGCAGUGGGGAAUUUUGGACAAUGGACGCAAGUCUGAUCCAGCCAUGCCGCGUGCGGGAAGAAGGCCUUCGGGUUGUAAACCGCUUUUGUCAGGGAAGAAACGGCUUUCUCUAAUACAGAGAGCUAAUGACGGUACCUGAAGAAUAAGCACCGGCUAACUACGUGCCAGCAGCCGCGGUAAUACGUAGGGUGCAAGCGUUAAUCGGAAUUACUGGGCGUAAAGCGUGCGCAGGCGGUUAUGCAAGACAGAGGUGAAAUCCCCGGGCUCAACCUGGGAACUGCCUUUGUGACUGCAUAGCUAGAGUACGGUAGAGGGGGAUGGAAUUCCGCGUGUAGCAGUGAAAUGCGUAGAUAUGCGGAGGAACACCGAUGGCGAAGGCAAUCCCCUGGACCUGUACUGACGCUCAUGCACGAAAGCGUGGGGAGCAAACAGGAUUAGAUACCCUGGUAGUCCACGCCCUAAACGAUGUCAACUGGUUGUUGGGAGGGUUUCUUCUCAGUAACGAAGCUAACGCGUGAAGUUGACCGCCUGGGGAGUACGGCCGCAAGGUUGAAACUCAAAUGAAUUGACGG